GUGCAUCGACUUCUUCGACGGCAACUUCCCCUUCUGCUACAACGACCACCAGUGUCCACCGGGCCAGAAAUGUUGCAGAGACGCCUGUUCCCAAAGGAAAGUUUGUUUGGCCGUCUGAGUUAUGCCCAGCGACUGCAUGGCCGCAUGACACAAACUUUGGAUCGACUGUUGAGGAACUGUGUGCUUGGCCACUUUAUAUCUUUCCUGUUUUUGCAGUUCUUUUCUUUAUCAUUUUCCCUGUGGACGCCACCAAGAUCUUUCUUCUAUUGGCUUCAAAUCUCUUCUUUGAAAUGCACAAGAAUGCCCUUUGACCAAUAAAUUUCGAUUGGAAUUUU